UACCUAACGCAAUGACUUCACCUGCCUCAACCCUAGAGCCGCUUCUCAAUCACACAACAGCAGAUCAGCAAAAAUGGCUUCUCUGUGUCGUUUCAAACCCAAAAAACUCUCCUCUAUUUCACCAAGAUCAACAUCCUUCUUCUACUGCUCCGAAUCCCUCAACAACCCGGACCCAAGCACCCGAAUUCCGACAACUCACAAUGCUAAAACCCCAGAAAAAGUAGAAGAUCUCAUUUGCAGAAUGAUGUCUACUCGCGUGUGGACUACACGCCUUCAGAACUCCAUUAGGAAUCUUGUUCCUUCAUUUGACCAUGAACUUGUUUACAAUGUGUUACACAAUGCAAAAAACUCUGAACACGCGUUACAGUUCUUUAGAUGGGUCGAAAGAUCCGGUCUUUUUAGGCAUGACAGAGAAACCCAUUUCAAGAUUAUUCAAAUUCUUGGUAGAUCUGAGAAGCUUAAUCAUGCUAGGUGUAUACUUCUUGAUAUGCCUAAUAAAGGUGUUGAUUGGGAUGAGGAUUUAUGGGUUUUGAUGAUUGAUAGUUAUGGUAAAGCUGGGAUUGUUCAAGAGAGUGUCAAGUUGUUUCAGAAAAUGGAAGAGUUAGGUGUUGAAAGGACCGUUAAAUCGUAUAAUGCUUUGUUUAAUGUGAUAACGCGUCGAGGGCGAUAUAUGAUGGCCAAGAGGUAUUUCAAUAAGAUGGUUAGUGAGGGUAUUGAGCCGACUAGACAUACGUAUAAUCUGCUGAUUUGGGGUUUCUUUUUAUCGUCUAAGUUGGAUACUGCGAUUAGGUUCUUUGAGGCUAUGAAGAGUAGGGAGAUUAUUCCUGAUGUAGUGACUUAUAAUACUAUGAUUAAUGGCUAUAACCGGGCUAAGAAAAUUGAAGAGGCCGAGAAGUACUUUGUGGAAAUGAAGGCGAGGAAUAUAGCACCGAAUGUGAUCAGUUAUACCACCCUGAUAAAAGGAUAUAGUUUGGUUGGGCGAGUAGAUGAUGCAUUGAGAUUGUUUGAAGAGAUGAAGAGUUUUGGUAUUAAACCGAAUGCCAUUACGUACUCAACACUGUUGCCUAGUCUAUGUGAGGGACGGAAAAUGUCUGAAGCUAGGAUGAUUUUGAAGGAGAUGGAAGAGAAGUAUAUUGCACCAAAGGAUAACUCUGUAUUCAUAAGAUUAAUCUCUGGACAGUGUGAGGCAGGUGAUUUAGAUGCUGCAACUGAUGUUCUGAAAGCUAUGAUCAGGUUGAGUGUUCCCACCGAGGCUGGGCAUUAUGGUGUCUUAAUUGAGAAUUUCUGCAAGGCUGGUGUCUACGAUCGAGCUGUCAAAUUGUUGGAUAAGCUUAUUGAGAAAGAAAUCAUCUUGAGUAGUUUGCCUAUGGAACCAAGUGCAUAUAAUCUGAUUAUUGAUUACCUAUGCAAUAAUGGCCAGACAAGUAAGGCUGAAACUCUAUUUAGACAGUUGAUGAAAAUUGGGAUUCAAGAUCCUGUUGCCUUUAACAAUCUUGUGUGUGGGCACUCAAGAGAAGGGGCUCCUGAUUCGGCCUUUGAACUUUUGAAGAUCAUGGGCAGGAGAAAGGUUCUUUCUGAUGGUAUUGCUCACAAGGCACUUGUUGAGAGCUAUCUGAAGAAAGGGGAGCCUGCUGAUGCUAAAACUGCUUUGGACAAUAUGCUUGAACAGGGACAUGAACCCGACUCAUUGUUGUAUAGAUCAGUGAUGGAGAGCCUGAUGGGAGAUGGAAGGGUUCAAACAGCAAGUCGAGUGAUGAAGAUUAUGUUGGAUAAGGGAGUGAAACAACACAUGGAUUUAAUUUCUACUAUGUUGGAAGCCCUCCUAAUGAGGGGCCAUGUUGAGGAGGCCCUUGGAAGAAUUGAAUUGUUGUUACACAGUGGUCUCUCACCUGAUAUUGACGCUCUCUUGUCCGCUUUAUGUGACAAAGGAAAAACAGCUGCUGCUCUAAAGCUGUUAGAUUUUGGUUUAGAGAGAGAUUGUACCAUAGACUUUUCAAGCUAUGAUAAGGUGCUGGAUUCUCUUGUAGCUGCUGGGAAGACACUUAAUGCUUAUUCUAUGUUGUGCAAGAUGAUGGAAAAAGGAGGAGUUAAAGAUCACAAGAGUUGUGAGGAGUUGAUUAAGAGCCUCAAUCAAGAGGGAAACACAAAGCAAGCAGAUAUUCUAAAAAGAAUGAUCAUCGGAAAGGAUACAACUCUUGACAGCAAGAAAGCCAAGAAAAAGACAGCCAUUGCUACCUGAUUCCUGUAACUUUGCCAGAAGUUUUAGGUGAGAGUUUCUGAAACAAAUUAUCUGACAGAUCAUGAUGAGAAUUUUGUUUUGUAGCAGAAUAAUAUGAGAGAUUCCAUUUGGUAUUUUCCCCUUUUUAAGUUUUUGCAUUCUGGAAUCAGUGAUGAUAUUUUUUAUUACAUGUUUCUUCUUUCGAUUGUUAAAUUUGUCUUCAAGUUUCAUUUGCCUAUAACAAUUAGUUAUCUGGUAAAUAUAAGGGAACGUGGUUUGAGGUCUGAUGACAUAUAUAUUCUGAUGGUAAAAUGGGUUCCCGUUUUCAUUCAAAAACCGAUUAUCCAAUGAUGGGCAAUUUUUUUUUUAAGUUUUUGGGGAGGCCUUUGUUUGAUUUCUUGGUGCCUUAGCUGCAAGUUCGGCACACAAAUGUUUUAUCUCUCUUUUUUUUUUUUUUUCUGAAAUAUAACUAGUUUUUGAUUUGUUCUAUCCUCUUCAAUAUUUUACUUAAUAUGGUGUUUGUUAUAUCUUCACUAAAACAAAUAGAACGAAAUCAAUGUUCUGGUGAAUACCUAAGACCCACGAGUCAACCUCUUCCUCUUGUUUUUCUCCUCUUUUAAUUGGUUGUGUUCUCAAUCUAAUGUUAUUUUUCCAUUUGGAGUUUCAAGUGGCAAGUGUCUUAUUUUAUUCCAGGGAUUACCAUUUGCCCCUGGUUGUAGUUACCAUGAUAUCUAAUGAAACCUUUUGACUUGUCCAAAAACAGCCUGUGCAUUACUCCUAUUUGUUCUGUGAGCUGUUAUGCGUGAGAGAAAUUGUAAUGAGCUCUUGUUAUGCCUCCUGUUCUACAUAAAUAUAUGAUAGACCAACCUAUCUUAAACCAAUUUCUUUUCCUGAAUUUAAUUUUCCAUUAACUUCUUUGCCGUCAUAGUUUUUUUUUUUGUGUAUGUUCUUUUUUUGUGGGUUUAAUCAUCGGUGUCUGCAACCCGCAAGGCCAACUAAUUUGGAUUUGUGCCAUAGAAAACCCACUAUUGAGGUUUUAGCGCUCCCUACCAAAAGAGGACUCUAUUCCCGGGGCUAGAACUCGAGAACUCCGAUUAAGGAUCAAGGUUAUGCUUCAGCCAAGCCAUCUUGUAAGUGCGCUGAGCUUUCCCUGGCAAUUUAAAAGUGGAAACUGUUAUUAUGCAAAAGUUGACAACUUGUUUUCAGAAAGCGAACUUCCUUCAUCUCCAUUGCAAAUUUCAACUCAAUCAGCGUAAGGUACUAGUCAGAGUUGGUUCAUCUGGGCGUUACCAAAGGGUGAGGUUACAAUGGGAUGACAUCAUGGUCAAGUAUAAACAGGGAUGGGCGUUUGCUUUUUUUCUUGGUUGGCCCAUAAAACGGUUUUCUUAUUUAGCUUUUCUGAGUAGUAACUCACGUUUAACUCAUAGGAACACAGAGUCAAUCUCUCUGAACUUUGCUGCUUGAUUCGAAUUGAAUUUGGUUACGACAUGGCAAACAUCUACCCGAAGUUUGGGCAGAUAAAUGUGAGUUUUGCUAACUAGUCAACAUCAUUUUCCGUGCUUGGUCAGCCACCUUUUCUAUUUGUUCCUUAUGUUGAAUCUGAGCUGUAGUUCUCCAUUCUUAAGUUGCCCCGAUUUUGGAAGGGUUUCAUUA